rnacentral:rRNA from 1 species
GACGAACGCUGGCGGCGUGCUUAACACAUGCAAGUCGAACGGAAAGGCCCUGCUUUUGUGGGGUGCUCGAGUGGCGAACGGGUGAGUAACACGUGAGUAACCUGCCCUUGACUUUGGGAUAACUUCAGGAAACUGGGGCUAAUACCGGCUAGGUGCUCCUGCUGCAUGGUGGAGGUUGGAAAGUUUCGGCGGUUGGGGAUGGACUCGCGGCUUAUCAGCUUGUUGGUGGGGUAGUGGCUUACCAAGGCUUUGACGGGUAGCCGGCAUGGGAGGGUAGCCGGCCACAUUGGGACUGAGAUACGGACCAGACUCGUACGGGAGGCAGCAGUGGGGAAUAUUGCACAGUGGGCGGAAGCCUGAUGCGGCAACGCCGCGUGCGGGAUGACGGCCUUCGGGUUGUAAACCGCAUUAGCCUGUGACGAAGCGUGAGUGACGGUAAUGGGUAAAGAAGCACCGGCUAACUACGUG